rnacentral:rRNA from 1 species
AGUGAACGCUGGCGGUAGGCCUAACACAUGCAAGUCGAACGGCAGCACAGUAAGAGCUUGCUCUUACGGGUGGCGAGUGGCGGGCGGGUGAGGAAUACAUCGGAAUCUACUUUUUCGGGGGGGAUAACGUAAGGAAACUUACGCUAAUACCGCAUACGACCUACGGGGGAAAGCAGGGGAUCUUCGGACCUUGCGCGAUUGAAUGAGCCGAUGUCGGAUUAGCUAGUUGGCGGGGUAAAGGCCCACCAAGACGAGGAUCCGUAGCUGGUCUGAGAGGAGGGUCGGCCACACUGGAACUUGGCCACGGUCCAGACUCCUACGGGAGGCCGCAGUGGGGAAUAUUGGACAAUGGGCGCAAGCCUGAUCCAGCCAUACCGCGUGUGUGAAGAAGGCCUUCGGUUUGUAAAGCCCUUUUGUUGGGAAAGAAAAGCAGCCGGUUAAUACCCCGCUGUUCUGACGGUACCCAAAGAAUAAGCACCGGCUAACUUCGUG